AAUUUUGAACCGGGGUCUCACUGAGUUGCCCAGGCUGGCCUCGAACUUAAAAUCUUCCUGCCUCAGGCUCCACAGUAGCUGGGACUGUAGCCUUGUGCCACUGCCCCAGGCGUCUCAGCCCUCUUUGACUUUUGGAAAGAGGGGUGGAUCCUGAUGCAGGAGUUAGGACACUAACUGCAAAGCCAACCUGUCACCCCUGCAUACCCGAAUUCCUCCUCCUGACUGCUAGAGAUUCAAACUGUACUUUAAAGCUUCCUGGGGUUUUAGGUUUGGCUAUUCUGAGGACCUUUAACUUAGGCUGGACCACUCUGGGGACUUCUGGCUCAGGUUAGGCCAUUCUGAGUUUUUCCAGCUUAGUUAGACCUCCCUGAAAUCUUUCUGCUGAGGGCUGACCUCCAUAAAGUCCUCCAGUGGGGAUACCCGGGCCUCAGGCCUUCACAGGGAGAGGCAUUCUUGCAGAGAAUGAUGAAAGGGCCACCCCAGGUCACGUCAUGUUCAAAUGUGAACCACAUGUACAAGAUUUUAUUUUUUUUAAGUUGACAUUCACUGAUCUUGGUCACUCCCUGGUUUUGAGUUAUGUGACUUUUUUUUUUAAAAAAUUCCAUUUUUAUAUAUCAUUGCUUUUCUUAUUGUACUGAUACACAAAAACACACCAGAGCCUCAUCUUCCCUGGUUCCCAGUUUAUUUUCAGGGGCAAAAAGGAUACUGAAAGCUAAAGGAAGAGGCGAAAAUAAUUUAUCCCCUUACACUUAAGGAUACAGGGUAGGGGAGGGUGGAUGGGAGGAAAGUUCUCAGAGAUACAGGUUCAUAUGAGUGGGUAUAUGUGUGGGGUAGAGUCUGUCAAGUGUCCUGCCUCUGUCUUUAGGUUCAGAGAAGGAGGUCCAUCUGUUGUCCCCUUGGUGUGGUUCUGUCCAGUGCCUUUCCAUCUGCUGCUUUGAGAACACCUGGGACCCAGCAUAGAGCCCCCAUCAGGGAAGCAAACCUCCUAUACACCCCCAAGGGGCUGGGCUAGGAAGCAGCUAGGGCCUUGCUGGGAAGCAACUAGGGCCUUCUGGGCAGAGUGGGCAUAGAAGGGAGGAAAAGCCACCUGAAGACCUUCACCAGAUCUGCUGGUGAGGCAGGCAGUAGCCAGACAGUCCCAUCUCUCAUCCUUCAUCAGUCAUAUCUGUUGGCUCUGGGCCCAGAGUUUAGGCAAAAUGUUUUAUGACUCCCUUAAAAAAUACUAGCAUCUUUACAAGUCAUUUUGCGUAUGUUCUGAGUCUCCUUCCCUAGGCGGACUGAUUCUUAUUUAUAGCCCCAGAACCCAACACAGUGGUUGGUAGUGAAUGUGGGUUAAGCAUUGUCAGCGAUGAUUUUGCAGAUAGGAAUAUCCUGUUUUAUAUAAACAGUACUGAGUCUCUCUCACAGACUAGCUCCUCUGCCUGUGUUUUGGCAAAGUGCUUUGUUUUGGCUCAAGACUGGAGAGCAUUUUCAAGUUGUUCUACUUUCCCACCUCCACUGGCCCCAAAUCGGCUUCCAUCACAUCCUUCCCCACAGUUUCCUUCAUUGAGAGCUCAUUUCAUAAACCCUCUUUCCACUUGGCUUCCCACCAGUUUCUCGUGUCGUACUCUGUCCCCACCAACGUGGUCAAGGGCUAGAAAAUCAAUAAAGCUCUUAAUCACAAACAAUGUGCAGCAGCGGUAGUGACUGCAGCUGGCAGCAGUGUGGCUGAGCUCCUGACUGGCAGAUCCCAGCAUGCCGGGACAAGCCCAGCCAGGGACAAAAAGCACUGCCCAGGACUCCAGCAUCUGGGCCCUGCCCAGGGCCUUGCCUGCAGACUGACACUGCGGAGUGACUUUUCUGAGCUUCCCUGGCUUGGCUUUCACCAUAUCCGAUGAUCACUGCAUCCAACCAUAUGUCCCCUCCCUUCAGACUCAGCUUGGGAAACAGAAGUUUCUCUGCCAUUGCAGCAAGCAAUCAGGAUACUGAGUUAAUUUGAUUCAUUUUACCACCCAUGUCUUUCCACAGAGAACUUACACGACUCAUUUACUUAAGAGACUGAUGUAACCUGCAAUAAGUAUAUUUCUGCAAGCUUUUUGUACUUUCUGCACCUUUCUACAUUUAGGGGAAGCAAGUCUGUCCGUUCACUGCUGUGCAGCUGAGCACAUGGGGAGACUUAGUAAAAGUGGAUUCACUGGAAUUGGCUCUUAUGACUGCUAAUCCUGUCCCGUGAGUAAAUCCUGGAGGACCUCAAGCAUGGAGUCUCCCAUGUCUGCAUGUUCCUGACUCAGCUUUAGGGAGUCUCCUCAUGGCCUUUCCAGGUGCCCUGGUAAAUUUCUGGUCGGUACUCUGGCUUGGGUUUGCACCAUUUGCCAACAUUACCCACAAGGAGACAAGGACAGUGAAGGAACUCUCAAGUAGUCAUCAGGUCCCAUUUUGGCACUGCUCACUCCUUAAUAAAAAUUUAUUUCCCACCAAUUGCUAGUUGGAUUGAA
rnacentral:lncRNA from 1 species